rnacentral:rRNA from 1 species
UACGAAGGGGGCUAGCGUUGUUCGGAAUUACUGGGCGUAAAGCGCACGUAGGCGGAUAUUUAAGUCAGGGGUGAAAUCCCGGGGCUCAACCCCGGAACUGCCUUUGAUACUGGGUAUCUCGAGUCCGGAAGAGGUGAGUGGAAUUCCGAGUGUAGAGGUGAAAUUCGUAGAUAUUCGGAGGAACACCAGUGGCGAAGGCGGCUCACUGGUCCGGUACUGACGCUGAGGUGCGAAAGCGUGGGGAGCAACAGGG